UUGUCUCAAAGAUUAAGCCAUGCAUGUCUCAGUACAAGCCGAAUUAAGGUGAAACCGCGAAAGGCUCAUUAAAUCAGUUAUGGUUCCUUAGAUCGUACCCAAAUUUACUUGGAUAACUGUGGUAAUUCUAGAGCUAAUACAUGCAAACAGAGCUCCGACCGGAGACGGAAGGAGCGCUUUUAUUAGAUCAAAACCAAUCGGCGUCGGGCGCAAGCCUGUCGUCGUUCAUUCUGGCGAAUCUGAAUAACUUUCUGCUGAUCGCACGGUCUCGCACCGGCGACGCAUCUUUCAAAUGUCUGCCUUAUCAACUGUCGAUGGUAGGUUCCGUGCCUACCAUGGUCGUAACGGGUAACGGGGAAUCAGGGUUCGAUUCCGGAGAGGGAGCCUGAGAAACGGCUACCACAUCCAAGGAAGGCAGCAGGCGCGCAAAUUACCCACUCCCGGCACGGGGAGGUAGUGACGAAAAAUAACGAUACGGGACUCAUCCGAGGCCCCGUAAUCGGAAUGAGUACACUCUAAACCCUAUAACGAGGAUCAAUUGGAGGGCAAGUCUGGUGCCAGCAGCCGCGGUAAUUCCAGCUCCAAUAGCGUAUAUUAAAGUUGUUGCGGUUAAAAAGCUCGUAGUCGAAUCUGUGUCUCGCGCCGCCGGUUCAUCGCUCGCGGUGUUUAACUGGCGUGUCUCCGCGAGACGUCCUGCCGGUGGGCUUAGCCCGCGAGGGCGGCCCAACUCUUCGAAUCCCGCCGCGGUGCUCUUCAUUGAGUGUCGAGGCGGGCCGGCACGUUUACUUUGAACAAAUUAGAGUGCUUAAAGCAGGCUAAAACUUCGCCUGAAUACCGUGUGCAUGGAAUAAUGGAAUAGGACCUCGGUUCUAUUUUGUUGGUUUUCGGAACCCCGAGGUAAUGAUUAAUAGGAACGGAUGGGGGCAUUCGUAUUGCGACGUUAGAGGUGAAAUUCUUGGAUCGUCGCAAGACGGACGGAAGCGAAAGCAUUUGCCAAAAA
rnacentral:rRNA from 1 species